CAAAUUAAUUUCAAAAUAAAUUGGCGUGCUUUACUGAAUUAAUUAUUCAACAUCAAGGAGAAAUGAAAGAAGGGAGAAGCGAGGAUGAAGAACAGCGAUUAUGGGAUUUCGAAGAACAAAACGGCAUUUCAGGACUUAGGGUUUCAAUUGAUACAGUGAAGAAGAAGGAUUUAUAAGGCUUAGAUCAUCACGUGCAAGUCACGUGAUGGUCAACCGUUUCAAUAAACGGUCAAUGCCCUAAAAAACGUUAAGUGGUAGUGUUUUGCAAAUGAAAGUAUUAGAAAAGGUAGUUUUUUGAAAAAAAAUUUAUAAAAGGUAGUUUUUUGCAAAUGAGUGUAUAGAAAAGGUAGUUUUAUGUAAUUUUCUCCAAAACUUAAUUUCUUUUCUCUUUUCCUUUCUUCUAAUUUGAUUAAAACUACCAAAACCUUCCUUCCUCUCUCACUCGAUGGAACCAAAGGAAGAUUUCAGACAUUCAUCUUCUUCCUUUGAUUUCUUCUUCCUCUGAUUUCUUUUGCAUUCUUCCUCUAAAUUCUUCCUCUGCUUUUCGCAAGAAGAACAACAGUUGGUCGUCGUCUUAUCUGUCUUCGAUUUUCGAAGGAAGUACAACAAUGGUUCUUGCUCAUUGAUUCUGAUUUUCGAAGAAAAAAACCUAAUUUUCCCUCUGAUUUCUGGAAGUAAUACACAAAGAACAACAUCAGAUAUAGUUUCCCCUUCUUUUCUUUAAAUUUCGAGCACAUUUGUAACAUUCAUCUUCAUGCUUCUCUGAUUUCAAACCCUAGCCAUCUUUGAUUGGAUUUUUAAGUAACAUCAAAAUUUUGUGGUUAUUUUCCUCCAUUGAAGGAGAAUUCAUAAAGCAGCGAUCGGUUUCUCUUCUAAGUCCUUCGAAAUUCUGCCGAAUGGGGAAAACCAAAUGAGGUUCUGUUAUGCGUGAUUAGGCAUCGAGGUCCAGGCCGGAAAUUUAUUUCGGAAUCUGAUUUUUUGUUCCAUAUCAGUGUUGCCGUCAAACAGAAGUUUGUUUUACAGAUCAGAACCGGUCGGGAACGAUGGGUUAGCGGAGUUGAUUAGAGUUCCAAGGAUGUUAUAUUGUGCUGAACACGUUAGAAUUUCAUAGUUUUGUAUUAGGCUUUGGUAAUUGUAUAUUAGUCUAGACUGUAUUGGUUAUGUUGGACUUUAAUAGAGACUUUUAUGAUUAGUUUUUGAUUUAGAUAGA